rnacentral:rRNA from 1 species
UAGGGAAUCUUCCGCAAUGGGCGAAAGCCUGACGGAGCAACGCCGCGUGAGUGAUGAAGGUCUUCGGAUCGUAAAACUCUGUUAUUAGGGAAGAACAAAUGUGUAAGUAACUAUGCACGUCUUGACGGUACCUAAUCAGAAAGCCACGGCUAACUACGUGCCAGCAGCCGCGGUAAUACGUAGGUCGCAAGCGUUAUCCGGAAUUAUUGGGCGUAAAGCGCGCGUAGGCGGUUUUUUAAGUCUGAUGUGAAAGCCCACGGCUCAACCGUGGAGGGUCAUUGGAAACUGGAAAACUUGAGUGCAGAAGAGGAAAGUGGAAUUCCAUGUGUAGCGGUGAAAUGCGCAGAGAUAUGGAGGAACACCAGUGGCGAAGGCGACUUUCUGGUCUGUAACUGACGCUGAUGUGCGAAAGCGUGGGGAUCAAACAGG